CUUCUGUCCCUUUGGGGAGCCCAAACUCACUCUCUCUGCUGAGCUGUGGCCCCUUCCACCUCGGGGUCCCAGAAAGACAGGGGUUCCUAGGUGGUGACCGUUCAGAAACAGAGCACCAGACCUUCUGCACAAGCGUCUCUGGGUUAGUUUGAACCGUCAACGUCUUGGAACUUGCUUUGCAAGCCCGGAGGUACCCAGCAGCGGGAUAGCGACAGGAAGACAGGGACUUCACACGGGGAAGGCUGCGUUUGGCUACGUUUGGCUACGCCUGGACUUCGGCACCUCCCGAGGCUGACUUAAGAAAAUGAAGGAGCAGCAGGGACCAUCCUCUUCCAGAGAAAUCACCCAACCUUGGAGUGAGCUUCAACCAUUGCUCUGAAACAGACCAGGAGCUUCAGCCAGCUUCUGGAUCCUUCCCCGGAGGGCGUGUGCCACGCUGCUAACCAUCCGUCCUACCUGCUGACGUCUCACGAGCAAUGUCCUGCCUAAUCUGGCUCAUGGAAAACCCUGCCCAUGAUCUUCCCCUCUGGUCCCAGCCCCUGUUUCUCUUCUCUGGCUGGGAGCCAUGUCCCUCAUUGUCCAUCUGACUAGAGGCUCAGAUUGUCCCUUUUGACCAGCUGUCCCAGCUGUCAGAUGCGAGUCCACCUACGUGCCUCUUGAACUUGGCCCUCUCAGCUUAGCUACCCACCCUCCUCAGUUCCACCAGCCCACUUACUCCAGCCAAAGAAGGGUGGCAGACUCCAGGCCAGGGCAUAGAGCCAAAUGACCAGCAGGACAAGUGCCGCCCGCCUCUUCGACACCACGCCGAUGGUGGCCAGCGGGCGCGUGAUCACCAGGUAGCGGUCCAGAGCGAUGGCUGUCAGGGUAAUCAUGGAGGUGAUGCCGAAGAGUGCCCCACAGAAGGCAUAGAAUUCGCAUCCUGUGGACACAGCACCCUGCCCUCAGUCCUCCGUAGCAAGGACAGGAAGUGCCUGGGGAAGGCGCAUGCUCACCUUUUCUCCUGCCCUCUCAGAAAGCAGACCUGGACAUUUGUCCCCCAGCAGUUAGCCGCCUCUGGCAGAAGCGGGCUGAGGUUUCCAGACUAGAACCUGAGUCUUCAGUGAUUGGAAGCAGCUACCUACUCCCUGCCUAGGAAGUUCAAACCUCUGCCCCCCGCCCCCCAGCCCCUUCCCUCCAUUGUGGUCAUAGACCACAUCCUCCCUCCAGCUAAAGGGAGCCCAGGUGCCUACCUGCCUCCCCAAAGAGCCACUGCUUGUAGAGGCUGCUGGUGAAGAAGACGGGGGCCUGGGUGAAGGACAUGAGGAAGUCGCUGACUGCGAGGUUGAUAAUGAGCAUGUUGGCCGGUGUCCGGAGGCUUCUGCUCCUGGGAACAGUCCGAGGGUGUUAGGAGGUACGUCUGCUAAAGGGCUUUCCUCAGGCCACAACCACAGAUGUGCACACACGUCGGCACACCCACCAUAUACAAAUGCAUGUGCACCCGGCAUAUGCCUACACACUGCACAUAUGUAUACACGCUUGUGUGUGCAUUUGAAAGGCCCGUGCAUGUAUGCAGGCAAAGUUGCUAGGCUACAGACCCAUCUGGCUGUCCAGCAAAUACCAGCUGAGGGUCCUUUGAGCCCAGCUGUGCUGACUGAGGGAUGAGAGACUCCAGGGCAGCAAUCAGACCUUGUUUUCUGGAGACAGCCCCCUCAGAGUACCACAGGGGAGGACUGCUCCCCCCACAGCUGCUGUGAGCCCCACUCCCAUGGAAGCUGGUUCUUGUGCUGUACCAAUUUCCUCUGGUGUUCUCUGCACGAUGCAUCUUUACUCCUUGGAUGAAACCCUUGGUCCCUCGAAGCCCUCUGGACAGAGGUCUCCCUGGGGGCUUCUCCAUUAGAUCCCUCCUGUUGUACACCCAGACCCUGCAGCUCUUGUGCUUCUAAUACCUCCCUCCAGCUUGGGUACCACCCUCAGACCUCUUCCUCCCCAAGGGUCCAGCCUGGCCGGGGCACUCGCCCAUUGCAGCUGCCCCUGCAGUGUGCACCCUCAAAGCGACCGAGGGAAGCGAACUGUGCUUGUGUCCACAGGUCAUUUGCGCUGCCUGCCCUUUCCCCAACCUCACCUCCGGCUGUCAUCCAUCUCCAUAUCCCCCUGAGGCAGGUUCUGGUGGUCCCAUUUUCCAGAGGGGACCACCGAGGCUCCGCUCACAAUGCACUUCACUGCAGACGACUGAACGUAGUCAUCCAGUGGGAGCGAAGCAUGUUGGGCUGAGGUUAUGAGAAUCUGUAAAGUGUCCGCAGGAAACUUUACAAAGCCGAAACAGGCAUGCAGGGAAGAGCAAGCUGAAAGGUUGACUGUGCUGACUACACAAUUUCUCCUCCCUCCUCCGAGCUCCUAAUAAAUGCCAGCAUGGCCUCUGUGUC